rnacentral:rRNA from 1 species
UAAGUGUAAAAAGCUUUUGGAAUAAGAGCUGGGCAAGACCGGUGCCAGCCGCCGCGGUAACACCGGCAGCUCUAGUGGUAGCUGUUUCUAUUGGGCCUAAAGCGUUCGUAGCCGGUUUGAUAAGUCACUGGUGAAAUCCUGUAGCUUAACUGUGGGAAUUGCUGGUGAUACUGUUGAACUUGAGGUCGGGAGAGGUUAGCGGUACUCCCAGGGUAGAGGUGAAAUUCUGUAAUCCUGGGAGGACCACCUGUGGCGAAGGCGGCUAACUGGAACGAACCUGACGGUGAGGGACGAAAGCUAGGGGCGCGAACCGGAUUAGAUACCCGGGUAGUCCUAGCCGUAAACGAUGCGGACUUGGUGUUGGGAUGGCUUUGAGCCGCUCCGGUGCCGAAGGGAAGCUGUUAAGUCCGCCGCCUGGGAAGUACGGUCGCAAGACUGAAACUUAA